CCGAUAUCUCUCUAAUGAAAUUGAAGAUGAAACGUAGAGCAAAUUCAAGCAAUUCAGGUCAGUAAGGGGAGUGAAUGAUUGAAAUUAAUUGGACCAAGUAAAACCUAUAAACAAGCUAGUUGAUAGAGAUAGAGAGUAGAUUAAAUUAACGAGCUUGGAAUGAAUUAGAUUCUUGAAGUAAGCGUUAUCAGUGCGCAGUGGCAGAAAUCGGAGAAGCCAUUACAGAUAAUUUCAAUCGAUGGCCACCCAUAUGGAAAAGUGAGGGGAAAAAAGAUGAAAGAGUGUUACAAAGUUCUCAGAUAACCAACAAUUGGUAUUCCAUGGAGAAACACAACCACGGGUCACUCUGUUCCUUGUGUUUCAAGAGGGUUUCCCAUGAAUUAUUGAAAGCUGCGAAUGGGAUUUGAAACUCCAAUGAAGAUGCUUCCAUCAGCAUAAGGGUGCACAUUACUUGCUCUACAUAUAGAUAGCAGAGGAACGGCAAUCAGAGCGAUCGCUACAGAGAUGGAAAUCGCGAAAUGCCAAAGGCGAUCAAUGAACUUUGUCUACAGAGCCAGUAAAAAUAUUCAUUUUCAAAAUGUGUUGACUUGCAGCACCCGUUGGACUAACUGAGUAGAGAUGUUUCGUUUUGGGUCAUUUUAGGUCAAGACCUUGUCACUACUUUACUCUGAACUUCGUUUGGCCUUUAUAGCAGGACGAAAAUGUGCUUGCAAAGAACUUUUCACGUGGCAAAUGCACUGUAAAUAUUUGGUCAUAGACAAGAUAAUACUUGGUUAGAUUAAGUUUGAGAUAAAUGAAAACGGUUGGUCUUUACAUUUCUUAAACUUUUCUGAACUCCUUCCAGAUCUGAUGAACCACCUAAGAGUGGACUAACCGACGAAACGUGGAACGUUUAAUGUCUGAAAAACCUUUUAGCAAUACAUCACCUUUGUUUUUGUUAUUUACAACGCGA